rnacentral:rRNA from 1 species
GUGCCAGCAGCCGCGGUAAUUCCAGCUCCAAUAGCGUAUACUAAUGCUGUUGCUGUUAAAAAGCUCGUAGUUCGACAAGGAAUGGUUCUGGUUCCGAGUCAGAGAGCGUAACCUGUUACCUUUUUCGAUAAGAGCCAUAUGGGACCGUUUCUGUAAUGGUGGUGACGACCGGAUGAAGAGCACUUCAUUGUGCUUGGAAUCGACUCCGCAGUCAACAUCUGCACAAGGCCGUACCGCUGUGAUACCGUGAACAAAACAGCGUGAUCAAAGCAGGUGAUACCGCUCGAAUGUUCAAGCAUGGAAUAUCAAGGAAGCGACCGUCAAGUUAAUCUUUGCUGGUUUAUGUAACCGUAUUGGGGAAUUGGACCUGAGAUUAUCGAAGGGCCCCUGUUCUUCGGAGCAGUUUUUCUCUCGAAGCUCUAGUUUAACCGGUAUUAACAGGGGUGAACGGAGCUGUAUGUAUUGGCACGCGAGAGGUGAAAAUUCUUAGACCGUGCCAAGACAAACCUAAGCGAAGGCAUUCAGCAAGUAUACCUUCACUAAUCAAGAACGAGAGUGCAGGGAUCGAAGAUGAUCAGAUACCGUCGUAGUCUGCUACUGUAAACGAUGCGAACUCGGGAUCAGCUAUUGCUUAUCUUCUGAUUACUAGGCUGGGACCAUUCUACCUUCCUAGCGCGAAAGCUUUAACUUUAUGCGUUCAGGGGGGAGUACAGUUGCAAGGCUGAAACUUAAAGGAAUUGACGGAAUGACACCACAAGGCGUGGAUGCUGCGGCUUAAUUUGACUCAACACGGGGAAUCUCACCAGGUCAGGACGCAUGUUGGAUUGACAGAAUGAAAGCUCUUUCUUAAUUAUGUGUAUGGUGGUGCAUGGCCGCUCCUGGUUGGUGGAGUGAUUUGUCUGGUUGAUUCCGUUAACGAACGAGAUCUUGACGAUUUAAUGACAGCUUGAUCGAAAUGUAGUUCAAUGCUCUUGCGCUUGCGUACUGAUGUUGGGUGAGAUCUUGUCUUGUACUUAAUCGGACGAUGCAUGUUUACAAUGCAUGGAAGUGCGAGCCAAUAGCAGGUCUGUGAUGCCCAA